rnacentral:misc_RNA from 1 species
UGUAUUGCGGAUCUACUAAA